CCGAGUUUACAACUCCCAAACCCAAUGUGAACGUUACCAAACUGUUGCCUCGGCGGGGUCACGCCCCGGGUGCGUCGCAGCCCCGGAACCAGGCGCCCGCCGGAGGAACCAACCAAACUCUUUCUGUAGUCCCCUCGCGGACGUAUUUCUUACAGCUCUGAGCAAAAAUUCAAAAUGAAUCAAAACUUUCAACAACGGAUCUCUUGGUUCUGGCAUCGAUGAAGAACGCAGCGAAAUGCGAUAAGUAAUGUGAAUUGCAGAAUUCAGUGAAUCAUCGAAUCUUUGAACGCACAUUGCGCCCGCCAGUAUUCUGGCGGGCAUGCCUGUCCGAGCGUCAUUUCAACCCUCGAACCCCUCCGGGGGAUCGGCGUUGGGGAUCGGGACCCCUCACACGGGUGCCGGCCCCGAAAUACAGUGGCGGUCUCGCCGCAGCCUCUCCUGCGCAGUAGUUUGCACAACUCGCACCGGGAGCGCGGCGCGUCCACGUCCGUAAAACACCCAACUUUCUGAAAUGUUGACCUCGGAUCAGGUAGGAAUACC
rnacentral:rRNA from 1 species